rnacentral:rRNA from 1 species
CACGUAGGCACCAAGCGUUGUCCGGAUUUAUUGGGCGUAAAGAGCUCGUAGGCGGUUCGGUAAGUCGGGUGUGAAAACUCUGGGCUCAACCCAGAGCCGCCACCCGAUACUGCUGUGACUCGAGUGCGGUAGGGGAGUGGGGAAUUCCUGGUGUAGCAGUGAAAUGCGUAGAUAUCAGGAGGAAUACCGAUGGCGAAGGCAGGUCUCUGGGCUAUAACUGACGCUCAUGCACGAAAGCGUGGGGAGCAAACAGG